GAUGAACGCUAGCUACAGGCUUAACACAUGCAAGUCGAGGGACCGGCGCCCGGGUGAGUAACACGUAUCCAACCUGCCCUUUACUCGGUGAUAGCCUUUCGAAAGAAAGAUUAAUACCCGAUAUAAAGGAUGGGGAUGCGUUCCAUUAGGUUGUUGGUGAGGUAACGGCCAACCAAGGCGACGAUCAGUAGGGGUUCUGAGAGGAAGGUCCCCCAGAUUGGAACUGCGACACGGUCCAAACGCCGACGGGGGGCAGGAGUAAGGAAGAUUGGUCAAUGGGCGCGGGCCUGAACCAGCCAAGUAGAGGGCAGGAUGACGGCCUAUGGGUUGUAAACUGCUUGUGUAUGGGGUUAGGUACCAUACGAAUAAGGACCGGCUAAUUCCGUGCCAGCCGCCGCGGUAAUUC
rnacentral:rRNA from 1 species